rnacentral:rRNA from 1 species
UGGUGGAGUGAUUUGUCUGGUUAAUUCCGUUAACGAACGAGACCUCAGCCUACUAAAUAGUAUGCGCUUUUUCACGAAAGCGUAAGACUUCUUAGAGGGACAUUUCGGUUCAACCGGAAGGAAGUUUGAGGCAAUAACA